rnacentral:ncRNA from 2 species
UGACACUCCCGCGGGUGCGGCUUACACUCAAAAUUCAAUUUGCAGGCAGGGGAAGCGGGGAAGGCCGUGUGAAUCGGCCGCGGUCCCGCCACUGUGAUCGGCUCAAGAGCCGUAAGCCAGGCCACCCUUCCGUGCCGCAGAGGGCCGC